UUAGGGGCUUCAUUAACGUAGAGGUUAUUCAUCUGAAAGUGGUGUGUUCAUCUCUGGGUUCAUCUGUGCCUUCAUCUGGUUCAUCUGUGGGUUCAUCUGAGGUGAGUUCAUAUGUUUCAUUCAACGGUUAAUCGAUUAUGGGUCAAAUAUCACAGGCAAAAUAAUCGAUUAUGGUGGAAUCUGCAAAUUUUUCGAGGGAUAAUCGAUUAUGUAUAGUGUGUAAAAUGGGUGAUAAUCGAUUAUCUGUUUGGGAUAAUCAAUUAUGGUCUUUUUUAGCCUAUCAGCAUAAUCGAUUAUGCUUUGAUAAUCGAUUAUGUGAUGUGUGUGAAACGGGACAUAAUCGAUUAUGUGUUUGGGAUAAUCGAUUAUGGUCUUUUUUAGCCUAUCAGCAUAAUCGAUUAUGCAUUGAUAAUCGAUUAUCCUCUCUGUGUAAGUGAUGCCAUAAUCGAUUAUGUUCUUGAAUUUUUGAAAUAAAAUUGUUUGUUAAUUUAUUUGUUUUCUGGUAUUUUCAGGUGUGUUGAUCUUCCUAUAAGGCAUCCUAUUGCUGUUGUUGUUGUUGAGUGCUUAUCUUCAGGUUUUAAUUUUUUUUAUGUAAAAUUAUUUUAUUUAAUUUGUGUUUUAUAUUUAUGAUUAUGGUUUUGUAAUAUAAUUUGUUUAGAAUUUAU
rnacentral:lncRNA from 1 species